rnacentral:rRNA from 1 species
UACAGAGGGGGCAAGCGUUAUUCGGAAUUAUUGGGCGUAAAGGGCGCGUAGGCGGCUUGGCAAGUGGAAGGUGAAAUCCCUCGGCUUAACCGAGGAACUGCCCUCCAAACUGCUUAGCUUGAGACCGGGAGAGGUGAGUGGAAUUCCCAGUGUAGCGGUGAAAUGCGUAGAUAUUGGGAGGAACACCAGUGGCGAAGGCGGCUCACUGGACCGGUACUGACGCUGAGGCGCGAAAGCGUGGGGAGCAAACGGG